rnacentral:rRNA from 1 species
UACGUAGGGUGCGAGCGUUAAUCGGAAUUACUGGGCGUAAAGCGUGCGCAGGCGGCUUUGCAAGACAGAUGUGAAAUCCCCGGGCUCAACCUGGGAACUGCAUUUGUGACUGCAAGGCUAGAGUACGGCAGAGGGGGAUGGAAUUCCGCGUGUAGCAGUGAAAUGCGUAGAUAUGCGGAGGAACACCAAUGGCGAAGGCAAUCCCCUGGGCCUGUACUGACCCUCAUGCACGAAAGCGUGGGGAGCAAACAGG